UGGCCUCCAUUCUUUAAUGGGAAAAUCACUUUCUAUCCCAUGUCCCCUCCUCUCAUUCCCAGCAGGAAGCUGGAAUCAGGCGGCUCACACACUAAAACCAGCAAGAAAGCCCCAUCACAUGUCUUCUAGAUUUUUCUCUCCAAGUGAGAGAUUCAAGUGUACAUACUGUUUUCACUUUCUACUGAGACCACUUGCAAUUGCAGGAGAGAAAACAUUAUGAGGAUGAGUUCACACUGGGUCCCAUAUGCACAGGUUUUGGUUCACUUGAUGACAGAAGACAACCAGAUGGAGGACACAUAGAGUCAAGGGAACCCAGCAAGACCAGAGCAAACCUACUCAGGCCAAAACACAUGAACUUUUCCUGAAGGAUGUAUCUCCCAAGACCAUGUUUAUUGGCGAUGACAGAAUUAUGUUCCUAGGAAGAAAGAUUCCUGCUGGAGAACUGUUUUUAACUGAUAUUGUCAUUUUUUAAUGUCUUUCUGAACCAGGAAUCAUCAGUGGGUGACAGAUUUUCACUCAACCUUCCCGCAACCCAGGAAAAUGUAUGUAAUGUCUGGAACGGACAUGCUGUUUUUUUACAUCUUAAUUCUAUGAGAAGAGAUCAAAUUAAUGUUUCUAUCUCAGAAAAAGAAAAGUGAGCUUACCGUACAGGUAGAUGGGGCUUCUUCCUCUGCCCUGUCCCUGGGAGGUUCAUUCAACAGGUCCUUGGGGGGAGCUGCGAGGAGACAGAAUAAACAUUAGCAUAUUAGGGCUGCUCAUCAGGACCUACUCAAGUAGUCUGGCUUGAUGUGGAUGUGGGCUGGGAGAGUAUGGAUGUAGGAGGUUAAUAAAUAUUGACUGAGCUCCACUUGGGCCAAUACCUUUGGUGGAUGAUGAAGACAAAAGAAAGGAGCAGCAAGAAAUAAAAACAGAGCCGUGGGCUUUCUAGGUAUGGGGAACCUAGUCGAUGUGUUUCAUAGUCAGUCUGCAAAAGAAUAAACACCAAAAUCAUGCUCUGAGAGGAAACGAGAGUGAGCCCUGGUGUCUCUAAUCCAGCUGUGCAGGAGGCUGCAACAGGGUGAUGGGCACCUGGCUAACAACCAAGUUUCAUUCAGAGUCUUAUUUGCAUCUGUCCCUUCCGUGUGUGUGUGUGUGCUUACAGGAUCUUAGCAUUUCUAAGGCUGAUAGUACUGUUACCCAAGACAAUACAAUACUUCCCUGACCCUUCCCAGCUUUUGGUCACAUGCUAAACAAGGACCCCAGCACCACAGACGUUGCCCUGCAUGGUCCUACAUGGAGCCUCACACUUCUGAGACUCUGGGAACUGACCAGCAGCAUGCUGGCUUCCCGGUGUGUUUCACACUCAUGACCCUGCCCAAGGCAGCUGCUCAAUGCACCUAUAGCUGCCCUGGCUUCGGUGACCACCGAGCCACCUUAUAGGGCUGGGUGGCAUCUGCAGACCCCAGUGCUUCCAGGCAUGGACACUGAGCCGGGACCCUCUUGACCCAGGGCUGAUGUCCCUAUGCCUGUGGGAUACGCAGAGGUUAUCGGUCUAGAACAUCCACAUUGGGACCUUGCCUGGGUUCACAUUUUGCUUUUUCCACUUAGGAGGUCAAGAGCUUGGGCUGUAUAUCUCUACACCAUCUCCUUGGGAUGGGAGAGAAUUUUAAACAAAACUUUGGUAACAGCUACAUGCUGUGGGAAGAAUAAAUGAAUGGCCAGAUAGAGAGCAAGGGUGAUGAGAACUUUUGCUUGUAGGAUGUACUGUGCUGCCUAACUGGGAAUUAGGUCCCGAGGAAACACAAGCAUUCGCACUUGCAGAGUCACAGUCGCACCAAUAGGGUCGCACAUGGACAAGCCACUAAUGCUCCUAAGUGCAAACCUUCGGCAUCUAAAUGACUUUCUUUCUUCCAGGGACUAAGUAGCAUCGGCAUCUCAAUUUUCGGGGAAAUUAGUUUCUUUCACUCCAUCCCCACCCCUCAUUCCCCGCAGAAACUCAGACUCAGGGUAUCUCUCCACCAAAGCAGCAAGAAAGCCCACCUUUGGCAUCACCUAGACUUCUCCUUGGCAGAGGAGGGCUUUCAGGAUACAUGAUAUGGCUAACGUUUUCUGUCUCACCCACCUGCCACUAGAGAAAAUACAACACUGUGCAGACUCACAGAUAUAGAGAUGAACUAGGGGUUACCAUUGGAGGCAGGGAGGGUCAUAAGUGGGGUCUGGGACAAAAGGGUACAAACUACUAUGUGUAAGACAAGCGAGGGGGAGAAUCAAGAUGGCAGAGGAGUAAAACGUGGAGCUCACCUUCUCCCAAAACACAUCAAAAACAUCUACAUGUAGAACGAUUCACACAGACCAUCUACUGAAUGCUAGCAGAAGAGUUUAAACCUCCAAAACGGGCCAGAAACCCUUGACAUACUGGGUAGAACAACUGAAAAAUAGAAAAGGAAUCAGGAUGGGACUAGCAUUCAUGAGAGGGAGCCAUGAAAUAGAAGGGGAACCCACACCCUGGGAAACCACCUAACUGACAGAUCAGCCGAGAUGGAGGGACCUCAAAGUCACCGAGAAAAGCACAGCAGCUGGACUGAGGAGGGCAGAGAGCCGCAGUUCGUCUGCACCACUGACCUGGACACAACAGCCUGAGACGCUCGGGCCGGGCCUGGGCGCUGAGAUUCAGGCGCCAGAGGUCAGUUCCAGGGAGAGGCCUAGGCUUGGUUGUGUGGAGACAGCCUGAGGGGCUAGGGAGCCGGUGCACCACUGGCUGGGGAGCAAAACACGGCAGCGGAGGGAACCCUGGAGGAGGUCUGGGCCUGCAGGAGAAGCAAGGCGCCAUUGUUGCCAAAGGCGAGAGGAGGAGGGGCGGGCCGCCAUAAGAAUCUCUUUCCCUGCGCAUGUGCAGGCUCUCAGAGGGCGGGGCACCUCUGGGCCCCAACUACCGGUGAUGAGGGGACGCUUGCCAAGGCUCUGGGAGACCAGUGCUGCUUCUGAGGGCUACAGGUAGCCAGGCACCUCUUGUGUGGGCCAAGGGCAGCAGAGGACUAAGUACAGCGCAGUGCCUCUUGCAUGAUCUAUAGGCACUGGGGACAAACCACAGCAGUCAUCUCAGAAACCAGAGGGAGGCGUGGCCUGCCACCACUAGGGGUCUGUGAACAGGCUUCACCUGUGGCCAGCAAAAAAAAAGGGCAUUGUAACCCAUACCACCUGUUGAUGCUCCCACUCCCCUGGGAACACACCCGCCCAGAUUCUAGAGUUAGUGUUUUCACUGUGCUGGGCUGGGAAUUGAACCUGCACCUCUGCAGCAAUUCAAGCCUCUGCAGUCAGAUUUUUAAGCCACUUCUCCACAGUGCGAAUUCUGAGUAUAAUACUCUUAUAAAACAAACAAAAAACCUCUGCUAAUUCAAAUAGAAAAAAAUCGAUCCCAUUUUUAUUUUCAUUUUCUUGAUUACAAAAGGGUUUGUAUAUUUUUCCAUAUACUCACUUUCCCUUUUUAUAAACUCAUUUUUCAAGUAAUUUACCCUUUUUUUUUUUUUUUUUUUUUUUGUCUUUUGUCCUUUUAGGGCCGCACCCAAGGCAUGUGGAGGUUCCCAGGCUAGUUCUAAUCAGAGCUGUUGCUGCUGGCCUAUGCCAGAGCCACAGCAACACCAGACCCAAGCCGUGUCUGUGACCUACACCACAGCUCACGGGAAUGCCAGAUCCUUAACCCACUGAGAGAGGCCAGGGAUCAAACCCGCAAUCUCAUGGUUCCUAGUCUGAUUCGCUAACCACUGAGCCACUACGGGAACUCCUUAACCAUUUUUAAGUGUGUAGUUCAGUAGUGGUAAUUAAGCAUAUUCAUACUGCUGGGUACCCAAUCUCCAGAACACUUUUCAUCUUGCAAAAUUAAACUCUAUAUCCAUUAAACAACUUCCCAAUCCUUUUUGUCCUAGAGCCUCGCAACUUUCUUCUUUAUGAACUUGAUUACUUCAUAUAAGUGACAUCAUACAAUAUUUGCCUUAUUACUGGCCUGUUUCAUUUAGCAUAAUGUUCUUGAAGGUCAUCCAUUUUGUAGCAUGACUCAGUUUCCUUCCUUACUAAGACCAUUUGCUUAUCCAUUCAUCUCUCAACAGCCUACUCUUAGGGAAAAGUCCUGCAAUGAACGUGAGUAUAAAACUAUUUCUUUGAGAUUCUGUUUUCAAUUUUGGGGGGUACAUAUGCUGAAGUGGAAUUGCUGGAUCAUAUGAUAAUUUUAUUUUUGAUUUUUUGAAUAACUGCCAAACUGUUUUCUGUGGUGGCUAUACCAUUUCACAAUCCCACCAACAGUGCACAAAAGUUCCAAUUUGUCCAUGUCUUUGCUGAUACCUAUUGUUUUCUUUUUAUCUUAUUUUUUAAAUUUAUUUUUAUAAUAGUCAUCCUAAUGGGUGUGAGAUGCCAUCUCAUUGCAGUUUUGAUUUGCAUUUCUCUAGUUAUUAGUGAUGUUGAGCAUCGUCACUAAUAUAUAUCACUACUAUAGAUAGAUAGAUCUAGAGAUAUAUUUCCAAAUACAUGAUUUGAAAAUAUUUUCUCCCAUUCUAUAUGUUGCCUUUUCACUCUAUUGAUUGUUUCUUUUUCUUUUUUUUAAGGCCACACCUGUGGCAAAUUCCUAGGCCUAGGAUUGAACCUGUGCCACAGCAGUGACCUGAGCGACUUCAAAAACCUGGAUGCCUGAAACUCUUUUUUUUUCCCUUCAAAUUGCCCUGAUUUUUCAUUUUACGUAACUCCAGAGCUGACCAAAAAUUGAUGUGUCAAAAUACAUUGCUUGUAAAUUGGGUCCUUGAUGCCAAAUGCUGCACACACAUGGAUUAGUCCUACGCUGCCACCAUGAGGAGGCUGCUGGAAUUCCAAGGCAUUUGGGUUAAAAUGACUUCUAGCAAAUAUAAAUUUUCAGAAGGGGAAAAUGAGGAAGUUAAAUCAGAAGGGAAAAAUCCAUCUUCUAAAAAAUGACCUUAUCCAAGUCUUAAAGGGAGAGACAAUAUUGCCAGGCAUGGCAGAUUUAGGUGGGUGAGGGUUUGUCAUUUAGCAUUUUGGCGAGCAUGCAAUUAAUGCCAGAUUUUGUUGUCACUUGGAAUUUUCUAUACCUGAAGACAUUGAGUAGCCCUCUGCAGGAAGAGAAGAAGAUGGGGGGGGGAUCAGAAAUCCAAAUAAAAUCAUAUACUCAGCCUAAGACCUGGAGCAGAGGUUCAGUAAACACUUAAAGUUUCAGGAAAAACGGGGAAAAUGUGGCAUCAGUGGCAAUAGCUCUCACUGUCCAAAUGGGGGACAGAAAAAAGUCUUUUCUGCUAUUGAUCUCAGAGUCACGGAAUCAUAAAAAUAUAAAAUGCUCACAUGGUAAGAAUUCUAGAUAGGUACUUCAAUUUCUUUUUUCAAAUGGACAACUGAGUGGUUGAAUCACUUCUCCAAUUAAAGUGAGAAUCAGUAACAGCAGGCUGGGAUUAGAACCCAGGACUUAACAAAAAUCCAGUUUAGGUAUCCAGCAAUAAGUCUUAAUUUAAUGCUGGAGUAUUGCUGAAGAUACUGCAGUCAGGACUGCC
rnacentral:lncRNA from 1 species